CCUGGGCCUUGGGGAGUCUACACAGCUUUCUUCCUCUCCCCAGACACUUCCAAAGUAAAAACCUGAAACAGUACAACUAAGGAAUCAUCAGCUAUCAGACACAUACGUAUUCAGCCACUAUUUAUUGAGCACCUACUAUGUGCCAGGCUGGUGACCAAGGAGAGACAUGGUCCCUGCUCUCGAAGGCUUGCAGUCCAUUGGAAGAUGUCAACACCCCUCCAUCCCCCCCAGGUCAGGGCUCUGGCAGAAAGAUGCCUGACCCAGCUGGAAGGAGGUGAGAGAGGACAGAGGGAACGGCGAGGGCAAAGGCUCUUGGCGGAAGGCAGCAAGGGAAGUGGGGGGCCCUCGGUGUGGUGGGGCAAAAUGAGAAUCAGACGGGAGCCCAGGGUGAGGCCCUGCAGGUCCCCAGGGGUUCUGAGUCGCUCCCUGACAGCUUAACGGGAAGGGCAGCCCUCCCCACAGUCACAGAAGUGCACGAUUCCCAGUCCACGCCCCUUUCUGGUCUGUGUGCCUUCUAGAACACUGGACACUGUGGGGGCCCAGGGCUGGGUGGAUGGACAGAUGCUGCUGCUCGCGGCCAUUCAGGCAGGGCCUGCAAGGAAGGGCUGUGCAUCCUAAUGAGCCUGCCCCACCUGUCCUCUCUCUGCAGUCUCCGAAGAGGAGCAGAUGGGGCUGUGGGCAGGUGGGGCUUAGCUCCCACUUGAAUCCCUAGGGGUGGUCAAGGACUCUGAGCAGCCACUCAGUCCCGGGGGGAGGGGGGUGCUGCCCACUCCCCAUCAGCUCCCCGCUGAGGGCUGAGGCAGGGCCCAAAGGCUCUCACAGCCAAAAGAAGAGUCCUGACCCAGUGCCCAAGGACCCCACCCCCAGGGACCCGGGCUUCCUGUGCAGCCUCCUCGGAGAGGGAGGAAGAAGUGCCCUCACACUGUCCUCUGUCUCUCUCGGCCACCCCGGAGGCCCAGGAGGCCAGCCUCCAUCCUCAAGCGGGCCCAGUCCCAGCACCCACAUCCUUGCCUCAGGGAGCGCCUGGCCUGAUGGCAACGCAGGACGCGUGACCCGGCACCCUCUCCGCCCACACUGCCCUCUUCCCCAGGGCAGCCCUUGUUCUGGCCCUGAGCAGGGUCCAGGGUGGGAGAGGCUGACCCAGAACAGAGGCUGCAGGAGCCAAGUCCAAGAGGCUGCAUAAAAUCACUGCCAUCGACAGAGGCCUACUGCACGCUAGUGCUGGGCCACCGUGGAGUCUUGAAGCCUGCAAGGAGGGAAGAAAGUGAAGCCCAGAGAGGUUAAGUGAUGUGUCCAAGGCCACACAGAGGGUGAGUGGACCACGUGACCUCGGCUUAAGAUCACCCACACCCUCUGCUGGGGAACCCAAAAGGUUCAGCUAAACGGCCGCAUUAGGUUUGCCCCU
rnacentral:lncRNA from 1 species